GACGAACGCUGGCGGCGUGCCUAAUACAUGCAAGUCGAACGCUUCUUUCCUCCCGAGUGCUUGCACUCAAUUGGAAAGAGGAGUGGCGGACGGGUGAGUAACACGUGGGUAACCUACCCAUCAGAGGGGGAUAACACUUGGAAACAGGUGCUAAUACCGCAUAACAGUUUAUGCCGCAUGGCAUAAGAGUGAAAGGCGCUUUCGGGUGUCGCUGAUGGAUGGACCCGCGGUGCAUUAGCUAGUUGGUGAGGUAACGGCUCACCAAGGCCACGAUGCAUAGACGACCUGAGAGGGUGAUCGGCCACACUGGGACUGAGACACGGCCCAGACUCCUACGGGAGGCAGCAGUAGGGAAUCUUCGGCAAUGGACGAAAGUCUGACCGAGCAACGCCGCGUGAGUGAAGAAGGUUUUCGGAUCGUAAAACUCUGUUGUUAGAGAAGAACAAGGACGUUAGUAACUGAACGUCCCCUGACGGUAUCUAACCAGAAAGCCACGGCUAACUACGUG
rnacentral:rRNA from 1 species